rnacentral:rRNA from 1 species
UACGUAGGUGGCAAGCGUUGUCCGGAUUUACUGGGCGUAAAGAGCGCGCAGGCGGUCGAGUAAGUCGAAUGUGAAAGCCCCCGGCUUAACUGGGGAGGGUCAUUCGAUACUGUUCGACUUGAAGGCAGGAGAGGGCAGCAGAAUUCCCGGUGUAGUGGUGAAAUGCGUAGAUAUCAGGAAGAACACCGGUGGCGAAAGCGCUCUGCUAGGCCGCAACUGACACUGAGGGACGAAAGCUAGGGGAGCGAAUGGG